UGCGAGUGAAAGGUAACAAACUAAAUUUCUUCCUGCCUUAAAUCUGGAAUUGUUUUCAGGCAAGACUGAUAUUAAUAUUGAUGGAGGGAAAUGGGGAAACAACAAUAUUGCAGAAAUAAGAAAGAAGUGGCGUUAUUGAGUUAGACUUUCUUGAUCUUAUAAAAACCAAGACAUAAGAAUAUUGAUGCUUCCAGUCAAAAUAAUAAAAAAAUUAAUUACAGAAGUCAAACACCAUAGAAAACUUUAUUUUGUCAGUAAUGAUGAUCAUCUUUCAAAAAAAACAACUUUAGAUUUUGGAAGAUUUUAAGUGUAGCAAAGAGGAAAUAAGGAAAACGAUAUACUAAAGCAAUCAUGCAUAUAAAAAGAACUGAAAUGCUGCAAAG